rnacentral:rRNA from 1 species
CCUACGGGUGGCAGCAGUGGGGAAUAUUGGGCAAUGGAGGAAACUCUUACCCAGCAAUGCCGCGUGAGUGAAGAAUGUCUUCGGAUUGUAAAGCUCCUUAAUUGGGGACGAAAAAAAUGAAGGUAUCCAAGGAAUAAGCUACGGCUAACAACGUGACAGCCCCACCGGUAAUACGUAGGGGGUAAGCGUCGUUCGGAGUGACUGGGCGUAAAGGGUGUGGAGGGGGUGUAGCAAGAGAGAAGUGAAAUACCUAGGGGUUAACCCAGAUGCUGCUUCUAAAACUGCUAUUCUUGAGUGCAGGAGAGGUAUGUGGAAUGCCUGGUGUAGCGGUGGAAUGCGUAGAUAUUAGGCAGAACAUCAGUGGCGAAGGCGGCAUUCUGGACUGUAACUGACGCUGAGGCACGAAAGUGUGGGUAGCGAACAGGAUUAGAUACCCCAGUAGUC